CUCCCGUGAUGUGACGCGCCAGGCACAUAGGAACCUUGCACAACCUGUCGUGCUAUCCCUCACGGUAACCUCAUCAGGCUGGAAUCCGUGUCCCCGUAGAGGCCCAAGGACGGAGGACGGCCCCGGUGGAUGCACGGUGACAUCAGGCUGCAGGCCUGAGGGUGCGGGACGGGAUCCUGAACCCCGCACUGCCGCUCCCGGUGGGACAGGGACGGGGUCUGACGCCGACCGUCUCUGCUGGUGCCUGGCUGACAGCGGCCCGUGUCUGUUGAGAAGAGUGAUGCUCCAAGGGAAGAGUAUCAGGAUCGAUUUGGGGACCGGGGGACAGUUUAUUUUCUUUUUCAGUAAUCUCUACGCCCAACGUGUGGCUCGCUCAUGACCCUGAGGUCAAGAGUUGCACACUUCACCGACCGAGCCAGCCCGGUGCCCUAGUAACAUAUUUUCGGAGAGAGAGACAGAGCAUGAACAGGGGAGGGGCAGAGAGAGAGGGAGACACAGAAUCCGAAACAGGCUCCAGGCUCCGAGCUGUCGGCACAGAGACCUACGCGGGGCUCGAACUCACGGACCGCGAGAUCACGACCUGAGCUGAAGUCGGACGCUCAACCGGCUGAGCCCCCCAGGCGCCCCUCGUUCCAGUGUUUUUUAAUAAGGUUCACUAUAAAUGUGUAUUUGCUCUUA